rnacentral:lncRNA from 1 species
GGUCUUCCGGAUGCUCGUAGAGGAGUGGAACUAUACUGAAGUUUAAAACGGGCUUUUGUGUGGGGAGGCUCCCUAAGACAGAAGGCAUUGGGGAACCCACCACCAGGUCUGUCUGUGAAAUGUGUCAUUUUGGCCCCUGUUUCAAUCCCCCACUUCUCCUUUGGCAGAUUCCUGUGGGUCUCUUUUUGGCCUUCAUUCACAAGCUUGUUGGCUCCUUCUGCGAGGCCAGAGCACGAGGGGAGCCCUUGCCCAGUCCGCCCUCUGCCCCAAAGGGUGCUGAGAGCUGAGCCCGUCCCCUUGCCGUGAUAGACAUAUGUCCUGCAGACAUAGGCAAGAGCCAGGAUUUUCCGUGCCGUUCACGACUGGUGAUUUAUUUCUCCCUCUUCCUGGCCGUCAGAGGCAUGAGACUGCGGUGGGAUCAAGGAGAGUGCAUAACCAGCCAGUGGCUUGAAUGAAAACCCACUCAAUAACUUUGAUAAAGAAUCACAUUAAAACAGGAGAGGUGGUUUUUGUGGCUGUUUGCAUCGAACCGGCAGUUCACACUCUUUUCCUGCAUGUGUCGUUCCUCCCGAGGGAUACCUGCUCAAGUCUUUGUUAGGAACUGUUUGUGAAACAUUGUGUAUAUUUCUGCCUCUUUUUUCCCCCCCAGCCUUUCUGGAAUUCCAGUCUGUGAGGAAAGGGUGUGCCCGCCAGCUGUACCCUCCAGAAUCCAUUUCGAUCAACUCGCAUCUCAUAUCUCUCUCGUAUCAAGCCCGUUACUGUGCCGAGGACGGCUGUAACAACGAGACCUACUUCGUCUCUCACCCGCCCCCUGCUAAUCACAUGAGAUGUCAUACCUGCGCCUCCCAGGGCGCCUGGUGCCCCGAAACGUCCCGCACUCAGAUCACCUGCGUCGGAGAUCAAGACCAGUGCGUGGAUAUGGACAUCACAGGAAAACUGGGUGAGUCGGGAAGCCGAGUGACAGAGUCCCCUUGCCAAAAAUAUCGAUAAGCACAGAGAUAAAUCCGCCGUCAUUCAAAGCCAGACUGUUCAGAGGGAUAAUGUCCUGGCCCUGGACAGAGAAAUCUGCUAGCCAAGU